GACGAACGCUGGCGGCGUGCCUAACACAUGCAAGUCGAACGGAAAGGCCCUGCUUUUGUGGGGUGCUCGAGUGGCGAACGGGUGAGUAACACGUGAGUAACCUGCCCUUGACUUUGGGAUAACUUCAGGAAACUGGGGCUAAUACUGGAUAGGAGCUCCUGCUGCAUGGUGGGGGUUGGAAAGUUUCGGCGGUUGGGGAUGGACUCGCGGCUUAUCAGCUUGUUGGUGGGGUAGUGGCAUACCAAGGCUUUGACGGGUAGCCGGCCUGAGAGGGUGACCGGCCACAUGGGGACUGAGAUACGGCCCAGACUCCAACGGGAGGCAGCAGUGGGAAAUAUUACACAGUGGGCGGAAGCCUGAUGCAGCAACGCCGCGUGCGGGAUGACGGCCUUCUGGUUGUAAACCGCUUUCGCCUGUGACGAAGCGUGAGUGACGGUAAUGGGUAAAGAAGCACCGGCUAACUACGUG
rnacentral:rRNA from 1 species